rnacentral:rRNA from 1 species
UAUAUGGAGAGUUUGAUCCUGGCUCAGGACGAACGCUGGCGGCGUGCCUAAUACAUGCAAGUCGAGCGGACAGAUGGGAGCUUGCUCCCUGAAGUCAGCGGCGGACGGGUGAGUAACACGUGGGCAACCUGCCUGUAAGACUGGGAUAACUCCGGGAAACCGGGGCUAAUACCGGAUAAUUCUUUCCCUCACAUGAGGGAAAGCUGAAAGAUGGUUUCGGCUAUCACUUACAGAUGGGCCCGCGGCGCAUUAGCUAGUUGGUGAGGUAACGGCUCACCAAGGCAACGAUGCGUAGCCGACCUG